rnacentral:lncRNA from 1 species
GACCAACACGCGAAAAAAAAAAUUCACUAAGAGAAAAGAUUACAAGGUGAUUACCGACUCCACGGACUUAACCUCUCUUAACCUUCUAUGAAUCUCCGCGCAAUCCUCCGGGUUGUCCACGCCCUCACGUUCGAAUCCACGAACGCCCCCCACUUCGAAUCCACGAAGCUUCAAUCACGCCGAAUCCACGACGCCACUCGAAUCCACGAGCCCACGAUCCGAAUCCACGAACCGCCGUCAAGCACGCCGAAUCCACGACGCCGCCAUGAAGAGCAUCAUGAUUAUGGUGAUCCUUUGCUUAGGAGUAUCGUAGAAAACCAGAGAAAGAAACUCCAAGCAAAGCGGAGAUCAAAUCGACAUAUAGCAAAUGCGAAACGAUAUCUCGAUUUGAUCUAAAGAGGCUAAUUUGUAGAAAAUAGGUUUAAGAUGAAAUCCGAGCCUCUAGGGUUUCUCAAAUAUGUAUUCUUAUCAUGCUUCAUAUGUUAGAGAACCCUCAUAGCUUAUUUAUAGACUUUAAAAUCAAACCGGAGUAGGAUUAGAAAGUUUCUUUCCAAAAUUAGCACUUUGUACCGGAACAAGGAAAGCUGUCCAGGGUACAGCAUGACGGAAGAUUUUUCUGCGAAGCUUCUGUACCCUGGAUAGGCUGCAGCUUGUUCCGGAACAGGGCUUGUACCGGUACAGCCAUGAUGGUUGUACCGGAACAACCAUCAAACAUUUCUGCGCAAACGCUGAUGGCUGUACCCUGGACAGAAAAUUCUUGUACCGGUACAGCAAUGCAAUUUUCGCAGAAAAUGCAUUGUUUCAAGUUUUACAAGCUCUUAGAUACUUUCUAAUCAAUUACAACUUGAAAACAUGAUUCUAAAAUCUAUAAUUAAGUAUGAAUCACCAUAAACAAGAUUUAAAGCUUACCUAAGCAUCGUGAUUCAUAUUUUGCAUGUUUUGCGUCCUUUCCAAUUCUUCGAAGUCUUGAAUUCUUCGAUCUUCAAUACUCCGCUCCGGACUUCUUCAAGACUCCGACUCGACCCACGAAACUUGCCAACACAUAGGACCUAACAAUCUCCACCUUUGGCAAUUUCGUGACAAAACACACAAACUAAAAAAUUACAUUGUAAAGAAAAACGAAGUUCAAUUGUCACCACCAAAACAUUGAACUCCUCGUGUGUAAUCCAAAUACAAUUUGAAACUCAAAAUACAUUUCAAAAACUCCUAAAACAGACUCUAUGACUUAGACGCAACUAGGAGUCUUGAAGUCUUGAAAUCCUGCAAAACAUUUCAUUCAAAAAUAUAGAUUAGCCUUAAAUUCUUAUACCUUCUCCUCCUUUGUUCACAUCUCCCCCUUUGUUCUUGAACCCAUCAUCCUCUGCUUUAGUUUACUGCCUGUUCAUCCAUGCUCUCCCCCUUCAUCUACGCUCUCCCCCUUUUUGUCAAAAAUUGCCAAAAGAAAGCAAAUAGAGAGAACACAUACUAGAAAGCAUAAGAGUAGUCUAGUCAUAGUUACAGGCCUAAAACAAAAAUAAAAACAUGCAAAGGAAAGAUAAGCAAGCACGGCUAAAACAUCGUCCUAAAAAGUAAACAUAGAGAAGCAGCAAGACUAAGUGCAAGGAUGAAAUCACUCAGUGUCCUCGUCAUCGUCAUCGUCAACUCCAGCACCAGCUCCAGAACCCCCAGCCUCAGGAGCAUCACCAGACGGUGGAAUGAGAGGAUGUCUAGAAGAUGACCGCUGAUACGUGGAAGAAGAUGGAGUAGGUACCCAAAUAUCAUCAUGUCUACACCCCAUCUUAUCCAUUAAUCUUUUAAUACUUAAUUCAAACUUUUUGAUGCUGGACUCAACUUUCCUUCCAAUGUUGUUUACUUUCUUCUUUAAUUUUCGCAAAUCAUCCUUAACCGAUUCCAAUGUCGACGGUCCCCCCGAACUAGAUGAAGUAUCAUAACUCCCUCGGGAUGGUGGCGGAGGAACAGAGCUAGAAGCUGCUCUCGGUGGAGGUGCUGGGCUAGAUGCUUCAGGAGGUGGCCCUUUGGUCUGAUGAAAUGACCUGAGAGUGCUAACAGACUUCGCCCAAGUCACUGAGUCAAUAGGCCCAAGGCCAACAUCAUACUUGUCACAAGAUGUAUCUACUCCAUUCGCUUGUAGAAUCCUCGUAAUCAGAACAGGGAAUGGAAGUAGAUCCCGUCUAGUGGCACCCUGAAUUACAUGUACCAUCCUUUGCCAGAUCAGAAAUGGAAUGUUGAUGUUCAAUCCAUGAGCCUGCUCGGGAUGACCAAGUAGGUAUAGCAACACCAAUCUCUCCCAACGGAUCCUCUUUGUGCCAAUGGUGGGUUGAACAUUAUAACUCAUAACCAAGGAUAGCAAGUGAUACUCAGGUAAUAAAUCCUUGGAUUCAAUGUAACCAUGAGUCAUGUAAACACCGGCUUUGCAUAUAGCACCAAGAAUGAUAUCCAUGUGAGUUGAUGCUUGGAAACCUCCUGAUGUAAAGAGAAGACCUGUAGUGUCCACAUGCAUCCCCAAGAUCUCUCCAAUAUCAUAGGGAGUAACUGGGAAUCUCCUCUGACGCACAAUGGUCUCAAAAAUAAAAGUGCCUGUUUCAUUAUCUUCAGCAAGUACCUUCCCAUUCAUAUAGAACUCCCGAAUGAGUUCCACACAGAAAGGAGCCUUGGCAGGGACCCGUCCAACAGGCUCAAUAGGUGCACGCUGUAGUAGUCGUCCAAAAUCAGGAACAUCCCGAAUCAGAUCAUUGAAGUUCACAAAGCGCUCAGCUAUGCACAACUUCGAUGCAAACAACCUUCGCCGUGCUGGAGGGACAUCCGCAGUUUGUUUUGUACGUCCCUCACGAGUACGAGAACCACCAUCAUGAGAUGAUUCGCCAGCUAUUCCUUUGCCUUUGUCAAGUCGAGCAAUAGGUUCUUCAGUUUCUUCCAGGGAGCUCGCCUGAUAAUCCGGAUCAGACCCGGACGCUUCUUCAGUUGUGCGUGUCCUUUUAGAAUCCCCACGACGACCUCUACCACCACUGCGUCCACGUCUCCCAGCCAUUAGCACCAAAAGCACCAGUACGAGGAAAAACGCCAUUUUCCUAUAUCAAAAAUUGCAUAUAUGAACAAAAUUUUUAAAAAAAAAUCUGUAAAAAUAGCGAAAAAAUUUCUAAAUACAUUAGAAUGCAUACAAAUGCUAUUUCUAACCAGAUCAUGCAAAAAAUUUCAGCAAAAAUCAAACUUUUUGAAAAAUCCCGAAAUUACAUGCAUAUUAGAGCAUAAAUCUUAGAUUAGCGAAAAAGAACUUGUUUUGAUGUUGUUCAAGUGUUCUACAAGCAAGGUAAUAGCCUAAGAUACUGAUCUAUAGCAAAAAAUUGCAUCAAAAACGAAUUAGAACAGAGAUCAAACCCUUAUCCCGCAAAAACAUUGAAAAUAGCAAAAAAGGGGAUAAAAUUCAUAAAUUUGAUGCUAAAACCUUACAAAUCCACGGGGAAAAUGUGUAGAACGAUUGAAGAAGAGUCGCUGGAGCUCUCAGGAACAAAGAUUUUCGAAAAUGAUUGAGAUUUGAAAGAGAUCGAAGCGUUAUACCCGGUUAUAUUCCGCUCAGCCGCAGACCUUGUACCGGAACACGAUUCCUUGUACCGGUACAAGGACCAAAAUGUGACAAUUUUUAUUUUUUUUUCAAAAAAUAUCCUUUAAAAACCCAUCAAAUUUAAAUUAAAUUCAUAUAAUUAAGACUUUUACUUCAAAAAUCAUUAUAAUGAAAAUAAAAUAUUAUAAAAUUUUAAAAUCCAUCAAAACAUUAAAAUUUCAUCAUCAAAAGUGAUUUAAUGAUUCAAACCAUCAAGAUGUAGGUUGAUGAAAAAUGAUUGUUUAGAAAUUCAAUAAAAUUGACACAAAUUUGUCAUAACACGUUCAAAAUAGAGAUUUAACCAAUAUGAUACCGGGGGUGGCUCUUUGAGCAUCUUUUUCAAACUAGCACCUUAUUUCUCCGAAAAUUCUACAAUAUUUAUUAUUUUUCAACUUUUUUUUCGGUUUAAUCAAUUCAAUUUUCAUGUGGUAGCUUCACACACUUGCCGGACGACCGGGGUGGUAGCUCUUUCCUACAUGUGGUGGUAGUUUUCACACUCCUUUUGGAUGUAACUCUUUCCACAUCUUUUAAACAUAGGAGUAUUUUCCUCUUUUUUUUCUUUAUUUUUAACAAUUUCAAACUCCCCCUAAAUUAGGCAAUCUCACAAUUGAAAAUAAUUUUGACGAAUUUUAGUCAAUUAGAGAAUAUCCAUCCAUCAUAUCCAACACUCACAACCAAGAUGAAUUAAUCGCCAAAAAAUCAAAUUUGAUUUCAAAAUUUUGAUGAAUAUAUGCAUUAAGAAAUCAUAUAUUAAAUUAUCGUCAAAAUAAUAAAUAGUGGAAUAAAACCGAUAAUUAAUAUGAAUUUAACUUAAUAUGAUUGUGAAGUUAAACACGGUUCAAACAACUUUGAAAAAAAAAUUCUCCCUCAAAAACAUGAAUCUCAAUUAUCUCCUCGCUCAAAAAUUUUGAAUUGCAACACACCUUUUCUCAAAAAGAAAUUUUUUUUUAAAACAAACAAAAAUCAAAGUCCCAAAAAUCAUUUAAACAUGUAAUACAAUGAAUAAAAUUAUGCAACAAGCACCUAUCAAAGCAUUACACUAAAGAUCAAAAAUGACUAAGACGAGGAGCAAGGAAAGAUAUCACCUUUCCGGAUCCAAACUUGUCGGAUCUUUGGUUUUCUCAGCUUGUCGACGAUUGGUGCCGUUUGCUUAGAUUUUAGAUCACCCGUUGGUGUUUUCAUUGCUUGAGGCUUAGGUUGAAUUUGUCGUUGAGGCUUAUGCACCCGGUUUGCAUGAACUUGGCGUUGUGUAUUAGAAAUCCAGUUCUUUUGAGGUACUCGACUAACUUGAUUUUUCUUUUGAUUCCGCGGGGGAAGUCGAGUUAUAGAUGUUGUCGUUUGAGGUUUAGAUAUUGCCGAUUGAUUCCUCAUUUCCUUAUUUGGGCAAUUCUUUUUGAUGUGUCCUUUGACACCGCAUCGAUGACACGCCUUGUCUUUCAAAGUUGUUGAGACUUUCGAAAUUGAUUUAGAAUCCUUCUCAACGUAUGUGCAUUCAUAACCGAGACCAAGUUUGUUCGUUUGACCCAAUCCGAGCAUAUGAUCUAACUUCUUUGAUCCCGAAGAAAAUUGUUGGAUGUCGGAUUUUAGUAAACGAACUUGAUUGGUCAAAGACUUGUUGGAUGUGUUUGAUUCCUCGAAUUGUUGCUCCAAAAAUCCAACCUUGUCUUUAUAUGAUUUGAUCGUUGAUUCCGCUUCAUUAAGCUUCUCUUGAAGGUCCGAAUUAUUCUUCAAGCUUGAAUCCCUUUCCUCCUCAAGAGCCUUAUUCAAACUCUUUACGUUGUUGUUUUCCUCCUCAAGUUCCAACAAACGACGUCUCAACUUCUUAUUUAAUUUAGCCAUCUUCUUUGAUUCAAUGAGAAGUUGAUUGUACGCUUCCGCUAUGUCUUCGUCGUUUGAUUCCUCCUCACUUUCGCCAUUGUUGCUCGAAGAGUCAUGCGAAGAAAGAGAAAUAUUCGAAUUAGUUGCAAAAGAGGAUAAACACACAACAUUUGACGAAGGAGUAUUAGCAAAUAGGGCAAUUUGAUCAUUCUUUUCUUCGUCACUUGACGAUGAUUCACUUGAUGUUGAAUCAUCCCACGUCUUUGCUUGCAUAGCCUUUUGUCUAUACGUCUUCUUUGAAGGACAAUCCGUCGCAAUGUGGCCGUAGCCUUUGCACUUGAAGCAUUGGAUCUCGCCUUCAAAUACAUCCUUUUCCUUUGAGGACUUUGCACGGUUUUUAUCCUUAGACUUUGAAGAUGAAGAUGAUUUAGACAAAGAUUGUCGCUUAGAUGAUGAAGCCUUGUCCAAUCUAUUCUUGUUCCGGAAAUUUCGACGAAACUUCUUCGUGAGAAGCGCCAAUUGUUGUUCAAAGUCCGCAAUUGAUAAAUCAUCAUCGGAACUCGAGUCUUCGUCCUUCUCCUUUGUAGAUUUCAAUGCAACACCUGUGCUUUUAGAAGAAGACUUGGAAGAAGAUUGAUUAGUAGGAAAAGUCAUUUCAUACGUUUGUAAAGCUCCUACUAAUUCUUCUACUUUCAUCUCGUCCGGAUGUUUGACCGUUUCGAUCGCGGCUACUUUAGCCCGAAAACGUUCCGGAAGAGUUCGAAGAAUUUUACGAACAACUUUAGAAUCCGGAAUUUUCUCUCCCAAAUUAGCACAUGUAUUAAUGAUAUCUUGAAGCCUAGUGUAGUAAUCGGUAAAAGAUUCAUGCUCCUCCAUACGAAUAGAAUCAAAUUGACUAGUCAACAUUUGGAGCUUUUGAAUUUUUACUAAACUAGUACCCUCAUGUGUAAUUUGUAGAGUAUCCCAAAUUUCCUUGGCCGUUUCGCAUGCCGAAACCCGAGUAAACUCCGUUUGCGAUAAAGCAUUGAAUAAAGCAUUAAUUCCUUUACCGUUAAACGAAGAUGACUCGUUUUCAUCUUUAGUCCACUUGUUUCGUGGUUUAGGGACGGUAGCACCAUCGACAACUUCGGUAGGAUGUUUCCAUCCGAAUUCAAUAGCUUUCCAUACCCGCUCAUCGAUUGCGAUUAGAAAAGCUCUCAUGCGAACUUUCCAAUAGGCAUAAUUCGUGCCGUCGAAGAGCGGAGGUCGAUUAAUGUUACCACCUUCGGCCAUUAGAUAACAAUUUAUCUAGAUCCCGCUCUGAUACCAAUUGAAAGUUUUGAGGAGCCCAAGGAUCUAUCUAGAUUGUAUCUAUCACCUAGAGGGGGGUGAAUAGGUGAACGGCCAAAAACCACAAAUCUCGAUGCAAUAAAAAUAAAUGCGGAAAAUAAAAAGCACACCGAGAUUUACGUGGGAAAACUCCAACUUGGAGAAAAACCCACGGGACCAACACGCGAAAAAACAAUUCACUAAGAGAAAAGAUUACAAGGUGAUUACCGACUCCACGGACUCAACCUCUCUUAACCUCCUAUGAAUCUUCGCGCUACCCUCCGGGUUGUCCACGCCCUCACGUCCGAAUCCACGAACGCCUCCACUUCGAAUCCACGAAGCUUCAAUCACGCCGAAUCCACGACGCCACUCGAAUCCACGAGCCCACG